UUUAUUAUAAAGAAUACACUACAAUAAAAGUCGGUUCAUCGUGAUCCUUAUUUACGAAGGUAGCUCUCUCUUUUGUUUCAACAAAUGGUCAACAGAAUGAUUUGAUUGACAGUUGAAAUGACAGAGUUUAUUUGCAUUUGUACUGAUAGAAGCCAUUUGAAAGAGAAAUAUCAUAUAGUAGUAAUUGGCAGGUUUCUUUGAUUCGUAGGUUUGAAUGGUAGCUAACCAUAUAGUAAUUGGUAAAACAUGCAAUUUCAUUCCGUCUCUGUUACAGCCUCUAUAUAUAAUUUUCUAACUUUCUACUUUCACCAAAUCAUCAAACUCACACACCCUUUGAUUGGCUUGGCCUCUUCAUUCAUUCUGCUAAAAGCUCUUUGUAACCAUGGGACCUGGCGGACCAGGAGGGCCUGGUGGAGGACCCGGGGGGCCUGGCCCGGGAGGACCUGGUUGGGGUCCACCUGGACCUGGAGGCUUCUUUGGUGGAUGUGCUAACGGUUUAUGCAGCCUCAUAUCUUCAUGCUUCUACUGCUUAUGCUGUUGCUGGUUGGUGCGAGAUUGCUUCGGCGGUCCACCACCACGAGGCCCUUUCUAGUACCAAGAUUGAUUAUUAUUAUAAUAAUUAUAGUAUAGUAUUUUUCAAGUUUAUUGUCUGCACUGAAUUACUACUACAAUAUGGAUUAGUAAAGUUGAACAUACAUGCUGCCUAAUUAUCCAUGUCCCCUGAUUGAUUUGGAUGUUGUGUUAUGACCAAAAAUAAAUUUAAUAAAUUGGUGGUUGUGUUA